rnacentral:rRNA from 1 species
GACGAACCGUGCGAACGUUAUUCGGAAUCACUGGGCUUAAAGGGCGCGUAGGCGGGCUCGCCAGUCAGGGGUGAAAGCCCACGGCUCAACCGUGGAAGUGCCUUUGAUACUGCGAGUCUCGAGGGAGGUAGGGGCGUGCGGAACUUCCGGUGGAGCGGUGAAGUGCGUAGAUAUCGGAAGGAACAUCGGUGGCGAAAGCGGCGCGCUGGACCUCUUCUGACGCUGAGGCGCGAAAGCGUGGGGAGCAAACAGG